ensembl:lncRNA
CUUUGCUACCUUGCGCGCGCCAUGUUGUUUCUCACCUCCAAGGCCUGAUUGCCGUCCCUGUCAGCAGACUAUGGACUGAAACCUCUACAAAUGAGACUUGCCACGUGGUACAAUUCAUGCUGCCCCGUGUUGCUUCCUUUCCUCGGCCUCUCCACACACCUGUAUCAUUGUAAUUCUCCCUUUCCCUCCACUCUCUUGCCAUCUCUCUAUUGUUGGCUCCCCUCUGUUCUUUCCUUCCUUUUUCACCUUGGAAAUCAUGAAGUCUUCAGCAUAGAUUCAUGAGGAACUUCACUGAGUGCUGACACUAUGCUCUUGGACUGGCAGCCUCUGGAACUGCAUAGGAAAGAUACUUCUGGAAUGAAGGAUUUUUUUUCUGAGAAAGAUCAGCCCUGCUUCAGAGGAAAAGUUUGUUUGCAGAUUCAAUGUGAACUUCCUCUACCACACCCAUACUAAGUGGCUCAAGUGUACAGAGUUUGUCCUGGGAAAAUGUAUAGAUGCCAGCUGCAGUUUUACCUUUGGAAAGAAUGCCAAAUCGGUAAUCACAACAAAGCCUCUCCAAACAAACCAUGGUUUACUCAUCAUCUAUAUAAGGCAAAGGAAAAAGAAAAAGGUAAAAUUAUGAACUGGACCUCAGGACUACUGGAUUUUGCUCCAUACUUGUUCGCUAGACAGCUGUAUGGCUUUAGCAGCUUCGAAGGCGAGGAUUGUGCUAAAACUUCAGCCAUUACAGAACUGGAUUAUGGACACACAUGACCUAUUCAAGUAAUUCCCAAACCCAGCUGCUGAUCAGUAUCACUAGGGAGCUCCUAGUGAUACUCCAUGUACCCGCAGAAAUUGAUUCAAUGUCUGUGGCAAGAGGAAUCUGUUUUUCAAUGCAUUAAUCCAAGUAUUCCUAAUGUAUGUCUUGCUUAGAAUGAUAAAUCAAUCUUUCUUUCAUCAUUUUUAUCAGUACAUAUUUGCAGUACAUAAUGUUUACAUUCCUUGUGUGGAAUUGGUAUGGCACAUAACACAUCCCCAAAAUCUGGCCUGACAUUGAAGACCUUACAAAAUGUGGCCCCACCCUACCGCGGUAGAGGGGUUUUGUCACAGUGUUACUUCCAUCCCACCACCAUGCAUGUUGCUUACCAGUGAUUUUAUGCAUGUUAAUUUCUCUCAGUUUUUGCCAACACAUCAAACUAUGACUCCUUCCUUUAAGACAUAACCCAGGUUUCUUGUGCCUAAGAAGUUGCUCCUCACUCCCUGAGCCAGCUUUAACUGUGUCCCUGUCUGGGUUUCCACAACACUCUGUUAAAACAUUGAUAAUAAACUAUAUUUCUUACCACUAGCUCACAAG